UUCUUAAAGAACUAUUUUUAAGUAAAUCCUGCUCAAUGAUAAUUUAAAUGGCCGCAGUCAUCCUGUGCUAAGGUAGCAUAAUCACUUGCUUUCUAAAUAAAAGAUAGUAUGAAAGGUUAAACGAUAAAAGACUUCUUAAUACUAUUUAACUAAACUUAUAUAAACGUAAAAAAGCCUUUAUUAAACAACAAGACGACAAGACCCUAAUAAACUUAUCAUUUGGUUGGGGUAACAAUAUAACAAAAUUUUAUUACCUUAUAAAAUAUAACUAUUAUAAUAAAUCGCAUUACAGUUACUAUAGGGAUAACAGCGCAAUUUCUUUUAAGAGCUCUUAUCUAAAAAGAAGAUUACGACCUCGAUGUUGAAUUAAUUCACUAUUAAACGCAAAAGUUUAUAUAUAUGUUAGUCUGUUCGACUAUUAAAAAAUU
rnacentral:rRNA from 1 species